AAGUCGUAACAAGGUAACCGUAGGUGAACCUGCGGUUGGAUCAUUACUGAAUAUAUUCAUCCGGGAUUUUUGGAUAUUUAUUUAUCCGGGGAUCCCGUAUGAUUUAUUACACCCCCUUGUGAAUCGUUUACCGUAUUUUGGUAGCCGUCCAAAUUUCCCUUUUUUGGGUUUUUUCGGCUAUCAGCUUUUAAAAUAAAAACACCACGGAACUUUUUCAUUGCAGUCUCCAUGUAAUUACCUUUUGGGUUUUACUUAUAUAACAAAUAGUAAACAACUUUUGACAACGGAUCUCUUGGCUCUC
rnacentral:misc_RNA from 1 species